rnacentral:rRNA from 1 species
AUUGAACGCUGGCGGCAGGCCUAACACAUGCAAGUCGAGCGGGGUUUUCGGACCUAGCGGCGGACGGGUGAGUAAUGCGUAGGAAGCUGCCCGAUAGAGGGGGAUACCAGUUGGAAACGACUGUUAAUACCGCAUAAUGUCUACGGACCAAAGUGUGGGACCUUCGGGCCACAUGCUAUCGGAUGCGCCUACGUGGGAUC